AGCACAUUCUUGACUAUCUUUGAGGCAUUUCUCCCACACUUUUGUUUGUACUGCACUCAUUGAGUCAUCCCUAAAAGCCUUCUGAAUUAUCCAAAUAGUUUCUGCAGAGGAAUGUUUCAGCUUAACGCAAGAUCU